CCUACGGGUGGCAGCAGUAAGGAAUAUUGCUCAAUGGGGGAGACCCUGAAGCAGCAACGCCGCGUGGAGGAUGAAGGUUUUCGGAUUUGAAACUCCUUUUGUUAAAGAAGUUAAUGACGGUAUCUAACGAAUAAGCACCGGCUAACUCCGUUCCAGCAGCCGCGGUAAUACGGAGGGUGCAAGCGUUACUCGGAAUCACUGGGCGUAAAGAGAGCGUAGGCGGGAUAGCAAGUCAGAUGUGAAAUUCUAGGGCUUAACCAUAGAAUUGCAUUUGAAACUGUUAUUCUAGAGUAUGGGAGAGGUAGGCGGAAUUCGUGGUGUAGGGGUAAAAUCCGUAGAGAUCAAGAGGAAUACUCAUUGCGAAGGCGACCUGCUAGAACAUCACUGACGCUGAUGCGCGAAAGCGUGGGUAUCAAACAGGAUUAGAUACCCGAGUAGUC
rnacentral:rRNA from 1 species